rnacentral:pre_miRNA from 1 species
UAUUAGGUUGGUGCAAAAGUAAUUGUGGUUUUUGCCAUUAAAAGUAAUGACAAAACCCACAAUUACUUUUGCGUCAACCUAAUA